rnacentral:tRNA from 1 species
GCGGGUGCGUGGCGCAAUGGAUAACGCGUCUGACUACGGAUCAGAAGAUUCCAGGUUCGAAUCCUGGCGCGCUCGC